rnacentral:rRNA from 1 species
GACGAACGCUGGCGGCGUGCUUAACACAUGCAAGUCGAACGGAAAGGCCCUGCUCUUGCGGGUUGCUCGAGUGGCGAACGGGUGAGUAAAACGCGAGUAACCCGCCCUUAACUUUGGGAUAACUCCAGGAAAAUGGGGCUAUUACCGGAUAGGAGCUCUUGAUGCACGGUGGGGGUUGGAAAGUUUCGGCGGUUGGGGAUGGACUCGCGGCUUAUCAACUUGUUGGUGGGGUAGUGGCUUACCAAGGCUUUGACGGGUAGCCGGCCUGAGAGGGUGACCGGGCACAUUGGGACUGAGAGACGGCCCAGACUCCUACGGGAGGCAGCAGUGGGGAAUAUUGCGCAAUGGGCGGAAGCCUGAGGCAGCAACGCCGCGUGCGGGAUGACGGCCUUCGGGUUGUAAACCGCUUUCGCCUGUGACGAAGCGUGAGUGACGGUAAUGGGUAAAGAAGCACCGGCUAACUACGUG